CUCACACACACACACACACACACCAAGCAAUCCCCUUUCUCUCUCUUUCUCUCAUCAACUCAGCGGAGGCGACGAUCGUUCUCUGUUUGCAUCUGAAAAUUGGAAGGUUCCAGUUCACUAGGAUCGAGAGAUCUUGCGCUAUGGCUGGACUUCACGUCCUUAGGUUAAUGCCCGAGCCGACAGCUGUUAUACUGCUGUAUGCGCAGCAGCAGCAGAUGACUAGUCAUGACAGCAUGGGGAGAUGAAGCGAGAGGCUUGCGGUUGUAUUCAACAUGGGUGCUGGUUACUGCGACGUGUCUUUGUAUAGCCUCUUCAAUCUCUUGUACUUUUGUGUCCAUAGACUUUAGUUAAAGUUUUUAUAUAACUUCACAACACUCUUGUUCUUUCUUUAACAUAACUUCAAAGUCCAUAUAAAAUUUCAUAAUCUCUUUCUAUU